rnacentral:rRNA from 1 species
CCUACGGGUGGCAGCAGUGAGGAAUAUUGGUCAAUGGACGAGAGUCUGAACCAGCCAAGUAGCGUGAAGGAUGACUGCCCUAUGGGUUGUAAACUUCUUUUAUAAAGGAAUAAAACGAGGCACGUGUGAUGUUUUGCAUGUACCUGAUGAAUAAGGAUCGGCUAAAUCCGUGCCAGCAGCCGCGGUAAUACGGAGGGUCCGGGCGUUAUCCGGAUUUAUUGGGUUUAAAGGGAGCGUAGGGGGGUUGUUAAGUAGGUGGUGAAAGUGUGCGGCUCAACCGUAAGAUUGCAACUGAUACUGGCAGGCUUGAGUGCAGUUGAGGUAUGCGGAAUUCGUGGUGUAGCGGUGAAAUGCUUAGAUAUCACGAAGAACCCCGAUUGCGAAGGCAGCAUACUAAACUGUGACUGACGUUGAUGCUCGAAAGUGUGGGUAUCGAACAGGAUUAGAUACCCUGGUAGUC